rnacentral:rRNA from 1 species
GACGAACGCUGGCGGCGUGCUUAACACAUGCAAGUCGAACGGAAAGGCCCUGCUUUUGUGGUGUGCUCGAGUGUCGAACGGGUGAGUAACACGUGUGUAACCUGCCCUUGACUUUGGGAUAACUUCAGGAAACUGGUGCUAAUACCGGCUAGGAGCUCCUGCUGCCUGGUUGGCUUUGUAAAGUUUCGGCGGUUGCGGCUGGCCUCGCGGCUUAUCAGCUUGUUGGUGGGGUAGUGGCUUACCAAGGCCUUGACGGGUAGCCGGACUGGGAGGGUGACCGGCCACAGUGGGCCUGGGGUAGGGGCCGGAGGGCAUCGGGGGGAAGGGGUGGGAGAAAGUGCACGAAAGGCGGAAGGCGGGAGGAAGGAAGCCGGGUGGGGGAGGACGGCCGUAAGGGUGGAAACCGUGUGAGCGUGGGAAGAAGACAGAGUGACGGUAAUGGAUAAAGAAGCACCGGCUAACUACGUG